UUAAGUUAGAAAGGGCGCACGGUGGAUGCCUUGGCACUAGGAGCCGAUGAAGGACGGGACGAACACCGAUAUGCUUCGGGGAGCUGUAAGCAAGCUUUGAUCCGGAGAUUUCCGAAUGGGGAAACCCACCACUCGUAAUGGAGUGGUAUCCAUAUCUGAAUUCAUAGGAUAUGAGAAGGCAGACCCGGGGAACUGAAACAUCUAAGUACCCGGAGGAAGAGAAAGCAAAUGCGAUUCCCUGAGUAGCGGCGAGCGAAACGGGAUUAGCCCAAACCAAGAGGCUUGCCUCUUGGGGUUGUAGGACACUCUKUACGGAGUUACAAAGGAACGAGGUAGAUGAAGAGGUCUGGAAAGGCCCGCCAUAGGAGGUAACAGCCCUGUAGUCAAAACUUCGUUCUCUCCUGAGUGGAUCCUGAGUACGGCGGAACACGUGAAAUUCCGUCGGAAUCCGGGAGGACCAUCUCCCAAGGCUAAAUACUCCCUAGUGACCGAUAGUGAACCAGUACCGUGAGGGAAAGGUGAAAAGCACCCCGGAAGGGGAGUGAAAGAGAUCCUGAAACCGUGUGCCUACAAGUAGUCAGAGCCCGUUAACGGGUGAUGGCGUGCCUUUUGUAGAAUGAACCGGCGAGUUACGAUCACGUGCAAGGUUAAGCAGAAGAUGCGGAGCCGCAGCGAAAGCGAGUCUGAAUAGGGCGCAUGAGUACGUGGUCGUAGACCCGAAACCAGGUGAUCUACCCAUGUCCAGGGUGAAGUUCAGGUAACACUGAAUGGAGGCCCGAACCCACGCACGUUGAAAAGUGCGGGGAUGAGGUGUGGGUAGGGGUGAAAUGCCAAUCGAACCUGGAGAUAGCUGGUUCUCUCCGAAAUAGCUUUAGGGCUAGCCUCAAGGUAAGAGUCUUGGAGGUAGAGCACUGAUUGGACUAGGGGCCCCUACCGGGUUACCGAAUUCAGUCAAACUCCGAAUGCCAAUGACUUAUCCUUGGGAGUCAGACUGCGAGUGAUAAGAUCCGUAGUCGAAAGGGAAACAGCCCAGACCGCCAGCUAAGGUCCCAAAGUAUACGUUAAGUGGAAAAGGAUGUGGAGUUGCUUAGACAACCAGGAUGUUGGCUUAGAAGCAGCCACCAUUUAAAGAGUGCGUAAUAGCUCACUGGUCGRGUGACUCUGGSCCGAAAAUGUACCGGGGCUAAACGUAUCACCGAAGCUGCGGACUGUUCUUCGAACAGUGGUAGGAGAGCGUUCUAAGGGCUGUGAAGCCAGACCGGAAGGACUGGUGGAGCGCUUAGAAGUGAGAAUGCCGGUAUGAGUAGCGAAAGAGGGGUGAGAAUCCCCUCCACCGAAUGCCUAAGGUUUCCUGAGGAAGGCUCGUCCGCUCAGGGUUAGUCGGGACCUAAGCCGAGGCCGAAAGGCGUAGGCGAUGGACAACAGGUUGAUAUUCCUGUACCACCUCCUCACCAUUUGAGCAAUGGGGGGACGCAGGAGGAUAGGGUAAGCGCGGUAUUGGAUAUCCGCGUCCAAGCAGUUAGGCUGGGAAAUAGGCAAAUCCGUUUCCCAUAAGGCUGAGCUGUGAUGGCGAGCGAAAUAUAGUAGCGAAGUUCCUGAUUCCACACUGCCAAGAAAAGCCUCUAGCGAGGUGAGAGGUGCCCGUACCGCAAACCGACACAGGUAGGCGAGGAGAGAAUCCUAAGGUGAUCGAGAGAACUCUCGUUAAGGAACUCGGCAAAAUGACCCCGUAACUUCGGGGVAAGGGGUGCCCUGUUMGGGUWKUCCMCMWKWCACWYVCMCCSCUCUGACGGAAGGUAGGGGGCUGACGCCUGCCCGGUGCUGGAAGGUUAAGAGGAGCGCUUAGCGUAAGCGAAGGUGCGAAUUGAAGCCCCAGUAAACGGCGGCCGUAACUAUAACGGUCCUAAGGUAGCGAAAUUCCUUGUCGGGUAAGUUCCGACCCGCACGAAAGGCGCAACGAUCUGGGCACUGUCUCAACGAGAGACUCGGUGAAAUUAUAGUACCUGUGAAGAUGCAGGUUACCCGCGACAGGACGGAAAGACCCCGUGGAGCUUUACUGCAGCCUGAUAUUGAAUGUUGGUACAGCUUGUACAGGAUAGGUAGGAGCCUUGGAAACCGGAGCGSUNWCNNUCGGKGGAGGCAUCGGUGGGAUACUACCCUGGCUGUAUUGACCUUCUAACCCGCCGCCCUUAUCGGGCGGGGAGACAGUGUCAGGUGGGCAGUUUGACUGGGGCGGUCGCCUCCUAAAAGGUAACGGAGGCGCCCAAAGGUUCCCUCAGAAUGGUUGGAAAUCAUUCGCAGAGUGUAAAGGCACAAGGGAGCUUGACUGCGAGACCUACAAGUCGAGCAGGGACGAAAGUCGGGCUUAGUGAUCCGGUGGUUCCGCAUGGAAGGGCCAUCGCUCAACGGAUAAAAGCUACCCCGGGGAUAACAGGCUUAUCUCCCCCAAGAGUCCACAUCGACGGGGAGGUUUGGCACCUCGAUGUCGGCUCAUCGCAUCCUGGGGCUGUAGUCGGUCCCAAGGGUUGGGCUGUUCGCCCAUUAAAGCGGUACGCGAGCUGGGUUCAGAACGUCGUGAGACAGUUCGGUCCCUAUCCGUCGCGGGCGCAGGAAAUUUGAGAGGAGCUGUCCUUAGUACGAGAGGACCGGGAUGGACGCACCGCUGGUGUACCAGUUGUUCUGCCAAGGGCAUCGCUGGGUAGCUAUGUGCGGACGGGAUAAGUGCUGAAAGCAUCUAAGCAUGAAGCCCCCCUCAAGAUGAGAUUUCCCAUUCCGCAAGGAAGUAAGAUCCCUGAAAGAUGAUCAGGUUGAUAGGUCUGAGGUGGAAGUGUGGCGACACAUGGAGCUGACAGAUACUAAUCGAUCGAGGACUUAACCAU
rnacentral:rRNA from 1 species